AUGUCCUCGAUGGCUCUUUGGCACCGCACAGCCACCCCAUGGCUGGGGUGGGCACUGAGGUGGGCAGGACCACUAUCGAUAUACAACUUGAUGAUGUCUCGAACUGUCCCGAGCAGGUGAUCCUUGACCAGGCGGGCCUUGUCCUCCCACAGCUGCUCAGCCACGGCCACCUUGGCCACCAAGUCCUCAGGGACAGUGGGGGGUGCCUCAGUUGUCCCCUUCAGAGUGGUCUUGAUGUCCCUGAGCAGGCGCUGCAGCUCCCAGGGGAACGCAGUGGCUUCGUCACAUGCGGCCACCAAGCGCUCCAGCAGCCCCAGGGCCAUCUCCACCCGCUGUCUCUCCAUGGUGGCCCUUGUUGCCUCACUGGCAGCCACCCUGGCCUCUCUCCUCACCUGGGCUCCAUGCCCGGCCACCACCUCGCCCAGGGCCUGACCCAGCUCCACCAUGUUUUCCUGAGCUGUCCCAUCACAGGCAGCCUCUUCCUGCAGCUCCCUGGCCCAGGUGGUGGCUGUGGCCGCCCUGUCGGCCGCCUUGGUGGCCAAAUCCCUGCAGGUGCUGUGGAGCUCAGUGGCUGUCCUGGCCAGCUCAGCCCAGCUAUUCAUCAGCACAGACACCGACCCCUGCCACUCGCUGGCUGCCAUUGUCACAUGGUUCCGGGGGAUCCCUGGGGUGCUCUUGUAGGCAGCCAGGGCCCGGCUCAGGGAGGUGACAGGGUCAUCAUCAUCUGAUGUGACAUUGCCUCCAGGUGUCAUCAGUGCUGUAGAGGGUGUCCCAGAGGUUGCUGGUGAAAACUUCCAGAUACCCAUACAGGCACCCUGGGAACACGAGCAGAUUCAUCUCCUCGUCCUGCCUGGGCAGGGUGCCCAGCAGCUCACCCAGGAUGGCCACAACAGUGACCUCUGGCUGCAGCAGGGCCGGGGACAGCUGGAGAGGGGACAGGAGAGGAGUCAG
rnacentral:lncRNA from 1 species